GCCAAAAGGCUGUGUACAGACACCAUACCUCUACCUCCUUCCUCCAGGGGUAGACACUGAUGGAAAGCCCGUGACCAUCACUCCUCCUGGGGUUCACACUGGGACAGCCGCCCGCUCUUUCAUCCUGAGAGCCAGAACACACACAGCGACUCCGAGUACGAGCAGCAGCAGCCCGAUGCCGAUGCCAACGUACACAGGAACUGCAGUGACAUUAACGGGACGUGGAGAGGGAGGGUUUCUCUCUGACAUGGCAACGGUUUCCUGUCCAUCCCGGGUGACAGCUGUGACCACGCAAGGAAAAACAA